CCUACGGGUGGCAGCAGUGAGGAAUAUUGGUCAAUGGCCGAGAGGCUGAACCAGCCAAGUCGCGUGAGGGAUGACGGCCCUACGGGUUGUAAACCUCUUUUGCCGGGGAGCAAAGUGCGGGACGCGUCCCGCCUCGAGAGUACCCGGUGAAUAAGCAUCGGCUAACUCCGUGCCAGCAGCCGCGGUAAUACGGAAGGUCCGGGCGUUAUCCGGAUUUAUUGGGUUUAAGGGGAGCGUAGGCUGCCUGUUAAGCGUGCCGUGAAAUGCCGUGGCUCAACCAUGGCACUGCGGCGCGAACUGGCUGGCUUGAGUGCGUGGAACGUAGGCGGAAUUCGUGGUGUAGCGGUGAAAUGCUUAGAUAUCACGAAGAACUCCGAUUGCGAAGGCAGCAUACGGCAGCGCGACUGACGCUGAAGCUCGAAGGCGCGGGUAUCGAACAGGAUUAGAUACCCGAGUAGUC
rnacentral:rRNA from 1 species